rnacentral:rRNA from 1 species
CCGUCUUGAAACACGGACCAAGGAGUCUAACAUGUGCGCGAGUCAUUGGGUCGCACUAAACCCAAAGGCGCAAUGAAAGUGAAGGCAGCCUCGGGUUUGCCUAGGUAGGAUCUUUUUUUCUCUUUUGAGAGRAGGCGCACUACCGGCCCGUCUCGUCCGCGUUGCGGUGAGGCGGAGCGAGAGCGCACACGUUGGGACCCGAAAG